rnacentral:tRNA from 1 species
GGGGGCGUAGCUCAGUGGUAGAGUAGCGGCCUUUUAAGCCGUCUGUCGAGGGUUCGAUUCCCUCCGCCCCCA